CUGGAUUAGCCCUUAAGCACUCGGUGAAGUAGGUGAACAAGCUGGAAAGCUUGGCGAUACAGGGUGAUAGCCCCGUAACCGACGCUUCAUCGAGCGUGAAAUCGAGUAGGGCGGGACACGUGAUAUCCUGUCUGAAUAUGGGGGGACCAUCCUCCAAGGCUAAAUACUCCUGACUGACCGAUAGUGAACCAGUACCGUGAGGGAAAGGCGAAAAGAACCCCUGUGAGGGGAGUGAAAUAGAACCUGAAACCGUGUACGUACAAGCAGUAGGAGCACCUUCGUGGUGUGACUGCGUACCUUUUGUAUAAUGGGUCAGCGACUUAUAUUCAGUGGCAAGGUUAACCGUAUAGGGGAGCCGUAGCGAAAGCGAGUCUUAACUGGGCGCUCAGUCUCUGGAUAUAGACCCGAAACCGGGUGAUCUAGCCAUGGGCAGGUUGAAGGUUGAGUAAC
rnacentral:rRNA from 1 species